AUUUCCCAAAACCUUUCUGAUACUGGUAAAUUAAAUAACAUAAAAUCUCACAUCCCAAUAGCACAGGUUGAACAUACUAUACACUAAACGAAUCUAGGGUUAAUGGUCAGCUUAUUCCGACCGGAAGAGUAAAAAUAUGGUUCAAGGAAGCAAAGAUUCCCAAAGAAAUAAAGCUUGUAUAUUCCAAAAUGUCUGUUGAACCGUUCGUAUACUUUUGCCAAUGUUUCUGCUGUUUUGUCUGUAGUCACUUGGCUAAGCAUUGGAAGAGCAACGCCUGAUGAAGCAUCUGAUGUGAUCGAUUGCGCCUGACCCUAAUUGUCCAGCUAGGAAAAAAGAAUACUCUGCAAAAAAAUUAUGGCUACUGAAAAUAUUUCUAGAAAAGACGCAAACAUUUUACAGAGAGCUACGUCUCCUUCGCUUGGUGCGUUAAAUUUCCCUCAGUUAACCAAACACUUUGCAGGCAACCCCAGAUCGGCCAGAUCCAAUUAUUCUAGCAAUAAAAUUAGCAUCCAGCCCAAAUCUAAUCUUUGCUGAGGAGAAGCUCAGAAUGGUAGGCAGCAAAAUUGCAACCUUUGUUACAGAGUGCAGAGAAGAUACCAUUAGUCUUUUUUCAGCAUUGUGGAACUAAGGGAUUUCGUAAAUUCUGCCAAUGCAGAUGAGAUAGAUGCAAGGAAAAUAGCUAGUAAACUUUCCCUUGAAUAUAUUUCCUCAUCAUAAAACAACAAUAAACAACUUCUUUAUAUGUAUCUCAUCAACAACAUAUAUAUAUAUAGCUAUACUGUCAGUAAUUUGGGUUAAGAACAAAAGAAACUGUAGCAUACCAAAUUAUAAAUUAUGUUGCAAGCUUAGGGAAGGCGGUAAUGGAGGGUUAGGAAUCUACACCUCCACCUCUGCUGCGAACAAAUAACCCUUCAUUAGUCGAGGGAGACAUAAACGCCAAGUCAACAUCCUGCCAAGUCCAAGCUCCGACUCCAAAGGUCACCUCGUGGAGGAUGCUGCCAUGGACGCGAGCUUUAUCUGCCUUAAUGAUGGCUCCCCACACUCACUUACAAACAAUAUUAAAUGGUCAGCGCAUGAUGUGAGGAUUACAAACAGUCCUCAUUUUCCAAAAUUUUACACAACCUGAGCGGGAGAUGCUUAACAAGAAAUGGAGAAGCUGGAGAAGAAUUAGAGUAGUCCCCAUUCCCAAGAAAGGUUCGGACACCUCAAUAGUCAGCAACUACAAACUAAUCUGCCUUUUGAGUGUCCUUUUCAAAAUAGUAGAGGGACUAGUAAAGCAAAGAAUGGGGAAAGAGAGAGAUCAUAUGCAUUUCGCCGUCAUAUAUCUACUGCCUUGUGCACCAACGAUCUGAUCAACUAAAUUUAAUCGCUAAAGUCCAAGCUAUACUAAGAAUUAAUAGCCUGUCUAGACAUCAAGGAGGCAUUUGACUGCGUGAACAUAGACAUCCUCCAGACUAAGCUUGAUGAAUUGGAUUUUGAUAGGCAUCUAGUCAAUUGGAUAGCAAGCUAGUUACGUAGGAGGACUCAAAUCAAAGGAAAUUGUGAAGUGACGAUAAGUAAAGCAGCAGCGCUGACUCGGACGCAAGCAACACACAGCAAGAAGCCCUCAAACGGAAGAAAGGGAUUUCGAAGGUAUGGAAGUACUUUAAGCGAUCUGACGAUAAAAAAACUGGCGAAGUGUCUGAAUUGCGGAAAGGAAUAUAAGACGAGUGGCAACACGAUAAAUCUAAGAGAUCACCUAAAACGAUUUCAUCCAGGCAUCGAUGACGCUGUUGCCAAACCUGCAGAGUUCAAUGACUCAAAUUUACCUGCAUCAUCAAGCAGCAGCACAAGAUCGAGCAUGCACUCGAUCUCUUCGUAUUUCAAACCAUCCAUUUCUUAUGAUACCAACUCUAGACGGAAGAGGGACAUCGAUCGUGUAUUAGCCAAGAUAAUCGCAAAGGAUGUUCAACCCUUCAAUAUAGUUGAAUGUGAAGGUUUUAUCGAGUACACCCAAAUCCUUGACCCAAUGUACAAAAUUCCAAGCAAAACCCAUCUAAGAGAUGUGCUGGUGAAGGGUGUAUUUGACGAGGCUGUUCUCACCCUAAAAACCAAAUUAAGGGAAACAACUAGUAUUGCUAUGACAUGCGAAAAUGAUGCAUUUUUAACUGUGACUUGCCAUUUUAUCGAUGGCUUUCAGUUUCGAACAGCGUCACUCAGCACAGAAAAAUUAAAAGAUGCUACGAAUCAUUCGGCACAAAAUAUUGCUGAAACUUUGAAAGGUGUCUUAGAGCAAUUCAAUGUUUUGGACAAAACAGUGUGCAUUGUGACCGAUAAUGCAAGCUCAAUGCUAAAAGCAUGUGAUAUUUUAAAAAUUCGCAACUUGCUAUGUUUCGCACACAGCUUGAAUCUUGUUGUGCAAGACGCUUUAAAAAUUCAAAAUAACAAUUUGUGCCAAAUGCCAACUAGGUGGAACAGCUUCUACUUUAUGAUAGAGCGCAUAAUAAAAACAAACAAAGCGAUUUCAAAAGUGUUAUUGGCCACAGCAAAUGCACCUCUGCCAUUUACUGCCAAUGAAAUAAUUAUAUUAGAGGACAUAUACAACCUAUUGGCACUAUUUCAAGAUGUGACAGAGCAAAUUUCCGACGCAAGUACAUCACGAUUUCUGUAAUAAUACCAAUAGUUUACGGAAUAUACCGCAAAGUUCACAAACUGACUAUUGUUAAAUACGACCGAAGGCAAAGCGCUGCAAGAAUGUUUGUUGGAUUCAAUAACAAAAAGGCUUUUUAAAUAUGAAGAAAGAAGCAUUACCAGAAUUGGAACUAUUUUGGAUCCGAGGUUCAAAAAAAUCGGAUUCCGCAAUGAUUACAACGCUGAGAAAGCAUCCGUUCUUUUAGAAAGUGAGCUUGUCAUUGCAUCACAGCAAAUCUCGAAACCCAUUGUGGAAUUGGAACCUACAACUUCAAAAGAAAAAACAAUUUUUUGAUUCUGUUAAAAUGAAAACAAAUGAAAAACCAACCACCAGCCGAAGUGAUGCAAUAAUCGUAAAACGGCAAUAUCUAGAAAGAAGUGUAGCAUCCCAGAAUACAGAUCCUCUUAUCUGGGUACAAAUGAACAAAACGGAUCUGGAAUUUAUAAAAACCGUAAUGUUUAAAUUUUUGUGCGUACCCGCCACAUCAGUGGAGUCCGAGCGCAUGUUUAGCAAGGGCGGACAAAAAGUCUCCGAUCGCCGAACUCGACUGAAGGAGGAAAACAUUAACAUGUUAUUGUUUCUCAAUAAGAACAAAUGGCUCUACGAAGAAGCUAAAUGAAAAUGUUUAUUAAUUGUAUGAAAUGGUUUAUUAAUUUGUAUAACACAAA